GUGAGACCACACACCCUUUCUGUGAGGCCACAACCACUUUCUGGCACACGCAUUUUCAGCAUGUGAAGGAUCUCAAAUUGAAGCUGUAACAUGUUGAUAGCCACAACGCGUCAGCUGGACGGGCCGGCGUGAUGUCACUUCCGGCGGGACCGGGAGGACGCGACCGGAAACCAGGCAACGCGGUUGGAGGCGGCGGGUGGGAGCGAUUUCACUCAGAUUUCUCAUUAUUCAUCUUGUACGGACACACCUUAUGUGGCAUCAUAUAAAUUUUUUUGACUGAGUAAUCUUAUGGACUUCGGUUCCUAUUAUGGAAGACAAUAUGGACAACAUCACAGAUGAAAAAUAAUAAAAAAGAAGAAAAAAGAUGAAAGAUCUUCUACUACUCAUAUACCUUUUUUGACAUAUUUGUGUAUGUAAUAACAGAGUGGUUGCCGAUUAUUGUCAUUAUUAUUUUUUCUGUUAAUCCUAAAAUGUUCAUUUCUGUGUACAUCAAUGGUAAGAUGUCAUUUAAUAACUUGUAUUUUUACAAUUUUUAUGCCUCGGGGAACAAGUACCGCUGGACAGAGCAUCCUUUUGUGUCCCUAGCAUAAUUCACUUUUAAACCUCAUGUGGAACGCACAAAUCGAGCGCUGGAACGCAAAUGACGUAAUCAUCUGGCAUCCGCUUCCGGGAAUAAAUCCCGUGUGGAACGCACAAAUUCAGUGUUGGAACGCAAAUGGCGUCAUCGCCUGGCGUCUGUUUCCGGGAGUAGGCCGUGGAACGCAUGUAUGCGCCGUGGAACGCAUACAUGCGCGAUAAGGAAACCAGUGGCGAGCGCUAUGCGCAGACGCCGUUUGGCUUGUGCACCUGGUAGUAGGGAACCGUUCCUACUGCUCUAUGUUCAUGAGGGAAUAAUUACUCUAGCCCACAUCCCUCUAGGUCUCUGUUUCCUGUCAGAUCGUAUAUUUCCCUUUUUAUAUUUGUUCAAAUCAUAGUUCUUAUACAAAAUGCUGGCCUGGGAAAGGUUUUCUCCUAAACCAGUACAUGUUAAAUUAUGUUUUUAGCUAUAUUGAGUGUAACUUAGCUCAUCAGUGUGAGGUCACUUCCUACACACUUUAUUGGCUGGUGCCCAGAUAAAUAGCAUGGGGCUGCACAGUGCCCACAUGUCUUGAGGAAGGCUCCUGUAGAGCCGAAACGCGUCGACAAUACUGGGCACUGUGCAACCUCGUUUAUUCUAAGAAGCUAACCUUUGAGGUAUUUCACAUUAUUUAAAUGCAUUUUAUGAAAUUUUGGACUUUUUAAGAUUUUUUAUUUUUUCAGUGCAAUUUAUGUUUUCAUUUGAGUUCCUU